rnacentral:tRNA from 1 species
CAUUGAGUAACUUAUAGUAAGUGAUGGUCUCUUAAACCACUUAAAGAUAAUGUAACGUCUAUCCUCAAUGG